CCUACGGGUGACUGCAGUGGGGAAUAUUGGGCAAUGGAGGCAACUCUGACCCAGCAACGCCGCGUGAAUGAUGAAGGUCUUCGGAUUGUAAAGUUCUUUUCUAAGGGAAGAAGAAAGUGACGGUACCUUAGGAAUAAGCCUCGGCUAACUACGUGCCAGCAGCCGCGGUAAUACGUAGGGGGCAAGCGUUAUCCGGAAUGACGGGGCGUAAAGGUUGCGUAGGUGGUUUGACCAGUUGGUAGCGCAACUCCGGAGCUCAACGUCGGAACUACUCCUAAAACUGUUGGGCUUGAGUGCAGGAGGGGAGAUCGGAAUUCCUAGUGUAGCGGUGGAAUGCGUAGAUAUCAGGAGGAACACCAGUGGCGAAGGCGGAUUGCUAGACUGUAACUGACACUGAGGCACGAAAGCGUGGGGAGCGAACAGGAUUAGAUACCCCUGUAGUC
rnacentral:rRNA from 1 species